UAACCUCAAAACUUUCGAGAUGCUGUCUGCGAUACGGUUGUUGAGAUUCUUCGAGAUCCACAUCUAUACGAUCAGUUGAGCUCGUUGUCACAGCUAUCAUAGCAGAUAAGUCUAUUAAUAAUUUUUUUAUUUGUUUUAAAUUUUUAUAUUUAGAAACUUUAUAUAUUUAGACUUGAGUUCGGAAAGGAGAUAUCAGGGAUUAAAAAUUCAAUCUAACUAUCCAAAUGAUGGAUCGGGCC
rnacentral:lncRNA from 1 species